CAUCAACGAACCCUACAUUUCAAGUGGUCCUUCGAGCCGGAUCAGUGAAUCACUGUAGAGAGAUGACAUCGCGUUCUGAGCCAGAUCCUCCUGUUGUCCGACCUAGACGACAAAUAAGGCCACCUGCACAUCUAGCAGACUAUCAAGUUCAUGGAUCAGGCUUUGUGAAGAGAGUACCAUCAGCUACACAUCUGAAUGAAGUUGAAAUCCAAGCCGCUGCACUCACACCAGAGAAUGCAUCCCGAUCGUCUUCUCCACAGAGUCAGCCUUCAUACGGAGAUGAUCUAGUUCUCAGAGAUGUAUGGCCAGAGCCAUUUGAAGAUGUGUCACCAGAGCAAGGUGAGCGCCACCUUCAAAUCCAGCAGCUGUCUGAUAUAAAGUAUAUGUGGUUUGAGAUGAAGAGGGACAACGACGAGCUUCGCAGCCACAUUCUACCAGAGAUCAUGUCUACACUGCAUGGACUCAAGACGGAGAAUGCUUCAUUGAGAAAGGAAAUUCAGCAGUUUAGCACCAGCUUUGAGACUCCUGGUCGAUCAGCGACACCAAUACCAGCCCCUCGUACUCACCUGCCACCGUCCAUCUGUAGUCGGAGAAGUUCUGCAGUGUAUGCUGAUGAAGUUCCUCAACCCCGACCUGCCCCGUGUGAGCAGCUGACGAGACAUAUGGAAGACCUUACAGUUUCACCUAGGAUGCCUCAUCCUGAAGAGAGUCAUCACACACCGAUUCAGAGGUCAUAUACAUACUCAGCCCAGCCUGCAGGAACAGGACAGUACGACUCUGUGAUGCUUGAUCCCAGACACAGUCAUCUUCAGAGAGAGAGAGGAUUCAGUCUACCCUCACGUCCACAGGUGACACCUAGAAAGGAGCUGCUGCACGUCCAAGAACAGAUAUAUCGAGGACCUAAGCCUACUAUCCCCAGCCUGACAGCAGUAGAUCCCCGACAGUUUUCCAGACUGCGGAUGGCACUAGAAAACCUUCUGCCAGCAGAUGCGAGUGAGCGCUUCAAGUAUCAGAUUCUGACUGAUCAUCUGGAGCUAGAAGAGGCCUUGCUAGUGGCUGACUCCUACUGUAACUCUGUGAGACCAUAUACAGACACAAUGCAAGCUCUUGUGAAGAUGUAUGGGCAGCCACACAGGCUUGUGCUGCGGAGUAUCGCUGAAGUACUGGAAGGUCCCAAUCUCAAGCCAGGUGACGUGAAAGCAUUCAAACUCUUCGCCCUUCGAGUGCGCUCACUAGUGAGUAUGCUGGAACAGUUGGGUUCAGAGGGAGUAGCUGAGUUAGAGUGCGGUUCACAUGUGUCCAGACUCCAAGGCAAGCUUCCACAUGAACUCCAGAUUAGUUUUAAGAGAUACGUCCACCCGUUUAAGAUCACAGUUCCCACACUUCUCGACUUUGCAAACUGGUUA
ensembl:lncRNA